ACCCCUGUGAGAAUGCCCUAAUUAUUUUCCCACCCGGAAAAAAGGAGCAGGCAUUAGGCACAACCCCAAGUUAGCCCAUGACGCCUUGCUUAGCCACACCCCCAAGGGAUUUCAGCAGUAGUAAACAUUAAGCUAUGAGUGAAAACUUGACUUAGUUAAAAUCAAGAGGGCCGGUUAAACUCGUGCCAGCCACCGCGGUUAUACGAGAGGCCCAAGUUGAUGGAUCCACGGCGUAAAAAGUGGUUAGUACAUUAUUUAACUAAAGCCAAACACCUUCAAAGUUGUCAUAUGCUAUCGAAGGCAGGAAGAGCCCCCACGAAAGUGGCUUUAUAUAGUACAACUCCACGAAAGCUAGGGAACAAACUGGGAUUAGAUACCCCACUAUGCCUAGCCCUAAACACAGGUUAUAUAUUACACCCCUAUUUGCCAGGGAACUACGAGCCGCAGCUUAAAACCCAAAGGACUUGGCGGUGCUUUAGACCCCCCUAGAGGAGCCUGUUCUAGAACCGAUGACCCCCGUUAAACCUCACCCUCUCUUGCAAAUUUCCGCCUAUAUACCGCCGUCGUCAGCUCACCCUGUGAAGGCCCUAAAGUGAGCACAAUUGGUAAUGCCUAAAACGCCAGGUCGAGGUGUAGCCUACGAGAGGGGAAGAAAUGGGCUACAUUCACUGCCUCAGUGAACACGGAUGGUGUCCUGAAACAAACAUCUAAAGGAGGAUUUAGCAGUAAGGGGUAAAAUAGAGUGUUCCCCUGAAAUUGGCCCUGAAGCGCGCACACACCGCCCGUCACUCUCCCCGAACAAAUUUGCCCAGAUAAAUAAACAACCAUUUAAAGAAAGGGGAGGCAAGUCGUAACAUGGUAAGUGUACCGGAAGGUGCACUUGGAUAAA
rnacentral:ncRNA from 1 species